rnacentral:rRNA from 1 species
UACGUAGGGGGCAAGCGUUGUCCGGAUUUAUUGGGCGUAAAGAGCGUGUAGGCGGCCAGGUAGGUCCGCUGUGAAAACUCGAGGCUCAACCUCAAGAUGUCGGCGGAAACCAUCUGGCUAGAGUCCGGAAGAGGAGAGUGGAAUUCCUGGUGUAGCGGUGAAAUGCGUAGAUAUCUGGAGGAACACCGGUGGCGAAGGCGGCAUCCUGGACCAACACUGACGCUGAGGAGCGGAAAGCCAGGGGAGCAAACGGG